AUGGACGCAUCUACAUCUCCUACGACACCACUUGGACCAAUGACAAGAGCUCGAGCAAAGGCUAUCAAAGAUAAGGUGAACUCGCUCCUCUCCGAACUCCCACUCUCUACACAUGAGACAUGGCUACUACCUCAAGUGGAAACAAUAUGUGUGAUCAGGUACUUGGAGGAAGGCCACGGAACAGCUACAUCCAAUGGAGAAGACGACAAGGACACCGAGUAUGAGGGACAAGAAGAAGAGCUACCAAAGAAGCUCCAGCCACCGGACAACCGGUCAGAACCGGACGUCCGUCGCCUGAAGCUCCAGCCACCAGACGACCGGUCGGGACCGGUCAUCCGACGCCUGAAGCCCCAGCCGGCCCAAGUCCCAGCCAUCGCAAGCUACAGCAAGCGGACGUCCGUCCAGGACUGGACGACUGGCAACACCUCCUAG
rnacentral:rRNA from 1 species